GUCGACGAGAGGACAUGGGAAGCUUGCUUCCUAUGAAAUCGAGUGGCAAACGGGUGAGUAACGCGUAAACAACCUGCCCUUCGGAUGGGGAUAACAGCCGGAAAUGGCUGCUAAUACCGAAUACGAUCUUUUCGUCGCAUGACGGAAAGAAGAAAGGAUGGCCUCUAUACAAAGCUAUCGCCGAAGGAGGGGUUUGCGUCUGAUUAGCUGGUUGGAGGGGUAACGGCCCAACAAGGCGAUGAUCAGUAGCCGGUCUGAGAGGAUGAACGGCCACAUUGGGACUGAGACACGGCCCAGACUCCUACGGGAGGCAGCAGUGGGGAAUCUUCCGCAAUGGACGAAAGUCUGACGGGGCAACGCCGCGUGAGUGAAGAAGGUCUUCGGAUUGUAAAGCUCUGUUAUACGGGACGAAAAAGACGGAUGCCAACAGUAUCCGUCCGUGACGGUACCGUAAGAGAAAGCCACGGCUAACUACGUGCCAGCAGCCGCGGUAAUACGUAGGUGGCAAGCGUUGUCCGGAAUUAUUGGGCGUAAAGGGCGCGCAGGCGGUUCGGUAAGUCUGUCUUAAAAGUGCGGGGCUUAACCCCGUGAGGGGACGGAAACUGUCGAACUUGAGUGUCGGAGAGGAAAGCGGAAUUCCUAGUGUAGCGG
rnacentral:rRNA from 1 species